CCAGUUUGUGGAUUAUCUCAGCCUUCCACCCUCCUUUGAACCUUACUGCUGUUAAACCUCAUCCUCUGCUUGAUGAGAAAAAUCAAGAAUGAGGAGAGUUAGUACCAUGCAGAUGGUCCCAGGAUGAAACCAGAAUAUGAACUCAGGCAGUCCAGCUGCUCAACCUGUGUUCUUAACCUUCAUGCAUAUCAUGUGCCAGCCCUGUGUUGUGAUGGGUACUUGGGAAGAUGCCCACAAAAAGCACAUGAUACCUGUU
rnacentral:lncRNA from 10 species